CAUUAUUUGUCUUGGGUCAUUUUUAAUUAAAUUAAGAUACUUCCAUAAUUGUAUCGCAAUUUUCAGAGAUCUUCAUUAGGUUAGGUUAGAUAAGUUAAGUAUAAAUAAUAUUGAUAAUGGUGAAAACCGCAAUAGAUAAAUAUAUUUUAAUUCCAUAAAUUUAAAUUCAUUUAUACUAUGCACUUCGCUAAAUUGUGGAAACACCAUACAACUGCGGAACAAUACAUUUUCAUUCAGCAAGGACUGCUAUAGAUUACAAUAUCGGAGUUCAUAAUUGACCUAUUACAAAUGAAAUGAAC